ACUUUUAUAUCUAUAUAUCUAUAUCUAUAUCUAUAUAUAGAUAAUGAAUUCUUUGUCUAAGAAAAUGUGUCACGAUGAAUAUUGAAUUAAUUUUGGCCAGAGAUGAAAGGAAACAAUUUCCUGUUGUUCUGGUGCAUUCUGGCAAUGUGCUAACUCUCAAGAGAUACUUAGUGAUUUUCCAGGGGCUAGUUCUUUUAUAGAGCACUUGGGGUGCUCCCCCUCCCCCAAGUUGCAGGACAAAGGAACAGCCAUGUAACUUGAGGCCUCCGUAGCUCCUGAUAGUGGGACCAGAGCUGUUGCUAGUGUGCGGAGGCCCAGAGACCUAACCAGAGCAAGUUUCACAUUUACUUCUGUUGUGGGUGCUGAGGUCAUGUGAUAGUCUUCUCUUCCUGAAAGCAACACUUCCUGCCCAUGGCUAUGUUAUGAACCAAUACAUUUUGCUCUCAAAUGAACUUGGAAAGCUCUAGACGUGGAUGGCGAUGCCACCCUGAGGGAGACUCAGAUACCACCUGUGGGGCUGUCACAGGACUCUGACAGAUCAAACCUCUACUGUGGGGAGAUGGAUGCUCUGUCCCUGGGGCUUCAAGAUGUUUCCUAGGCUGUGCAGACAGCGUUCCUGGUAUCUCUAAAUAGCCAGCUGAUUAGUAUUUGGUGAGGGAAGCUAGGGAUUUGGGUUGAGAAAGUUCAGUGAAUGUUUUUGAAGGUCACUGUCCUUGGGGCAAGUUUUCAAUGUUCUGUGCUGCAGGGCAUGAUGACUUACAUAUGGAAAACCACGUGCAGAGAGGCAUGUAUGCAGUGUCUGUUUUUUGUUUGUUUGUUUGUUUUUUGUGGUCAUGGGUGUCAGGGCAAGGAGGAAGGACAAUAUAGCCAAAGUGUUCUCUCAGGUGUUUGAUUUCAUGGGAGAAUUGAGCUUUUUCCCUCCCCUUAGGGACACCACUCUGCCUAGAAGAAAUUAGUCUAUGGUCUGGAAACCCUGUAAAGUCCUUGAGAGGGAUAAAACUUGAACCUCUGACCCACUGGGAGGGCACCAACUUCCACUGACUUUUUCUAAGAAGUUUUUUCGGUAAAGAUAUUGAUAAUUUAAGUCCUCCUUAAGCUUUGCAAGGGCCAAUACCAAAUAUGUUGCUCAAUUUCAUGUGUAAACUUGAUUGGGCCAUAGCUGCAAAAACAUUCCGAGACUACCAUUGGAGGGGAUUUUUAGGUGAGGCUAACACUAGAAUCUAUACGAUGAGUAAAGCAGACGGUCUGCCCCAGUGUGGGUAGGCCUUGCCCUGUCAGGAAUGGAGCAAGCAUGUAGGAAGGGAUGGAUGGAUGGGCAUGAGGCAGGCGCAAAGAUAGGGGCUAGCCUUUGCCAUUGCGGGUUGAUUCUGACUUUGCCACUAGAUGUGCUGCAGGGAAUCCCUGCCAACUCCUUAGGGAGGGUCCCUGACCUUAUCCAUUUGCUCUGAGCCUGGCUCUCUCUGUAUGCAGCACAACCCACAAAAGUCACACGAGGGAGUUGAGGGACUGAAGCAUCAGAACUCCUGGAUGUUGGAGACUGGCUGGAUGACUAGAGCUUGCUCCCGGUUGACCACGGAAGAAGCCGAUGCUGAGGAACGCGGCUGUGCUCUGAAGACUGUCCGGCCUGCUUGUCUCAGUAAUGCUCACUGCGUCUGUACCUCUUGAGUCAGGGCAGGGAGGCACAGAGAGGCAUAGAGGCUGCAUAGAGUGAGUGCAUCCAGGUUACCCAGCUAACAAGUGACUGAGACAAGAUUUGAACCCACACAGUGAGAGUCAAGGAAACCUACUCUUUUUUUUUUUCCCUUUCUAUGUCCUCUUCCUCACUUUGGCUUUGCAUAUUUAUUCAUUUAAUUGAGAGGAAAUUUACAUGUAAAAUGAACUUGAUUUUAAUGUACAGUGAGUACUUUCCCAGAGUUAGGCAGUCUGGCUACGGUAGUGCCUUUAGAGUAUUUCUUUGUCUCCAGUAAGACCCUCCUAUCUUCAUCCUCAGCCCCAGCAGCUGCUCACUACUGUCCCUGUCCACGCUUUUCAGGUACUGGAUAUUUCCCGUCAACGCAAUCCUAUGUCAGUCUACAUCGUGGCAUUUCUGUGUCUACCUUCUAUCAGUGGGAAUGUCUAUGAGGUUCCUCCUUAAUGUCACAUGGGCGCCAGCGUGCUUUUUCUUCAUCUUUAAUAUUUAAACUACAAGGCUGGAGUGGGCUUUUCCAGUGAAGAAGCAGCUGCCUCUGAGUCACCCAUACUUCUUUGCUGUCAUCUGCAAGUCCAGCCUGAGGAUCCAAGGCUUACAGCUCCUUCAUUGCUGAGGUGAACCAGCAUGGAGUGAGAUCAGACCCCAGCUUUAUCCAUAUUGGCAGCCAAGAGGCAUCUGUAUGAGUCACCUGGUACCCCAGAUACCACAUGCCCUAAUACCAACUGUUCAUCUCUUACACAGCCAUUCUCUGGCCAAAUUGUAUCUAUGGUGACUGUGGUAUCUUGGGUAAGUAGAUGCCAAUGCCUUCCUGUGUGCUUUUUGGGCCCCUCUCACUAGGCCAGCCAAAUCUACUUCCACACCUGGCUCAGGAACUCCUGCCCAAGCAGCCUUGAGGUCAGUGUCGGGUCCUUCUUUACCUUCUCCCAUCCUGUGGCAAUAAACUCUUCCAACCUACUUCAGUAGCAUUCUCGCACCCUUGCCUCUGACUGUAUUAACUUCCUACUCUACAGAAUCAUCUAUAGCCUCAGGUGAGAGCUACGUGUUUACCAAGUUGAAUGGAUGCAGGGGACAGACCGACUGGCAAGGGGUUCAGCACGGAGAAAGCUCUUCCAUACUAAGACCCCACAGUGUUUCCCAAGACAAGAUUCAACAAGCCUGCUAGGAUCUGGACAUGCAAAGCGGAGUCAAGUCUCAUCCUUGAGCAGGGAAGCCCCCGGAGCUGGAAGGGCAGUUCAAGGGUAGAGUCCUAGCAGCCCCAUGAGCAGCUGUGGAGGUGAUGCCUCUAAGGAACGAAGGCAGUGACCACACAACCCGGUUGUCGGUCAUUGUUCCCCAGAAAUGAAGCGCACAACCAGAACCUUCAGCAGGCGGAAUGACACUGCAGCCUGAAGGAAGCUGUGCAUGACUGACGGUCAGGGCAACCUUUGUGUUAGCCCACAGGAGCUCUGCAUCCUAGGGAGACCUGAAGAGCAAGAGUGGAAAGUCAGGGGCUGAAUUGAGAAGGCAAUGCAACGAUGCAUUAGCCCGUGACUUGUUCACUCAGGUUCACUUUCUACUAACAACCCUGAUUCCUAAAAUCACAUGGAGGCUCGAUAUCAGAUGUCAGAAAUCUACAUACCUGGAGAGUGAGAAGACAAAGUGUGAAGACCACCAUUUCCCUCUCAGCUUCCUGGGGAGACCAUCUCCACACCAAGGGAACAUGAACACAGUUAUGGAAGGUUCCAGGAUAUCUUUCCCAGGACCACUAUCCCAUUUCCAGGGUCCUUCACUUUGACACACACAUUAUCCAUGGGUCUUAGAGAGGCAGGGUAGUGAAGGUUCUUGGGACAGGCAAAACUUGAUCUAUGACAAAUCCUCACAGCAGAAGUAUCUUAGGAGGACUAGAGACACUUGAGUGACAACCGACAGGUGUUUCACUCUCACCUGAAGCUCAGAUGACAUACAGCCAUGAGCGCUAGACUGCUAAGGCUGGGUGCCCUGCACCCAUGAGCUGCAGUUCAAUGUAGGAAGUCCAGAUGUAGGAAGGAAGGCACCAGCACUAUGGCAUAAUGGCUGGUAACAUCAGCCACUCUUUAUGGAGCACAACAGAGUCUCCUUUCUGCCUUUACUACACCUUAUAGGAUCCCAAACUGAAGCUCUGAGGGCUUGGUUGUCUGUGUGUAAUACACAUGAAUACAGUGACCUGGGAAGCCAUAAGAAGGUGUCAGACCCCUUGGAACUGGAGUUACAAACUAUUGUGAUCCCUUUCCCUCAACCCCAUGUGGGUGCUGGGAAGCAAACUUGGGUCCACUGCAGGAGUGUAUACUCUUAAACACGGAGACAUCUCUCCAGCCCCCAAGUAUCUGUUUUCCUAUAUAACCUUUUUCUAUAAAGUCAAGACAAGGUGAUCCAUCUGGCAAGGUAAUUGUUUUUAAUGCUCCAGGAAAAAAGAAAAAAAAAAACCCAGAUAAAACAAUGUCUUUCUACAGCAAAAGAAACAAAACUCAGACCUUCCCUAACUUUUAGGUGUGAAUAUACUUAAAGGGUUGAAAGAUUUAAAACACACACACACACACACACACACACGCACACACCACUCAUUAAAAUCUGCAAACACAGUGUGUUUCAGGUGUAUCCGUA